UUAUGGCUCAGAACGAACGCUGGCGGCAGGUCUUAGGCAUGCAAGUCGAACGGAUGACAGAGAGCUUGCCCUCUGAAGUCAGUGGCGCACGAGUGAGUAACGCGUCGGGAAACUGCCCUUCACUGGGGAAUAACGUUUGGAAACGAACGCUAAUACCGCAUACGCCCGCAAGGGGAAAGAUUUAUCGGUGACGGAUGUGCCCGCGUUGGAUUAGCUAGUUGGUGGGGUAAUGGCCUACCAAGGCGAUGAUCCAUAGCUGGUCUGAGAGGACGAUCAGCCACGCUGGAACUGAGACACGGUCCAGACUCCUACGGGAGGCAGCAGCUAAGAAUAUUGGGCAAUGGAGGAAACUCUGACCCAGCCCAUGCCGCGUGAAUGAAGAAGGCCUUCGGGUUGUAAAGUUCUUUUAGUCAUGAAGAUGAUGACAGUAGUGACAGAAAAAGCACCGGCUAACUUCGUGCCAGCAGCGGC
rnacentral:rRNA from 1 species